AUAUAUCUCCGAUGAAGCCGCUGGCUUUCGUUCUCCGCCUCUUGACGUCUUUUCCUCAGGACCUUAGAUUUUGCCUUUGCAUCCUUGACUGCCCGUUGCUCAUAUACCAGCUGGAUCUUCAAUUGCUGCAGUUCGGCCUUCUCCUCCCUAAGGGCGACAGAUAGCUCUUCUACGGUUCUUCUCAGAGAUUGGAGUUCGUCGGGGUCCUGAACGGGAGCAAACUGAGCUUCUCCAGCUAGCUGCCUUUGAAGGCGGGUAACCUCGUCGGUCAUCAUCCUGAGCUUCUCCCUAUAGUCGUCCACCUGCUUGCACCAGCCGGCACGGUACGCGUUAUAGCUCACCUCGGCAUUCUGAAGCUGUUCCUAAAGGUCGGAGACCUUCUUCGACCAUUCCCGAUCGCUGUCGGCCCGAGUCAAAAGUCGGGAUGAGCUUCC
rnacentral:lncRNA from 1 species